rnacentral:rRNA from 1 species
GUACACUCCUGCGGGAGGCAGCAGUGGGGAAUAUUGGACAAUGGGCGCAAGCCUGAUCCAGCCAUGCCGCGUGAGUGAUGAAGGCCCUAGGGUUGUAAAGCUCUUUCACCGGUGAAGAUAAUGACGGUAACCGGAGAAGAAGCCCCGGCUAACUUCGUGCCAGCAGCCGCGGUAAUACGAAGGGGGCUAGCGUUGUUCGGAUUUACUGGGCGUAAAGCGCACGUAGGCGGACUAUUAAGUCAGGGGUGAAAUCCCGGGGCUCAACCCCGGAACUGCCUUUGAUACUGGUAGUCUUGAGUUCGAGAGAGGUGAGUGGAAUUCCGAGUGUAGAGGUGAAAUUCGUAGAUAUUCGGAGGAACACCAGUGGCGAAUGCGGCUCACUGGCUCGAUACUGACGCUGAGGUGCGAAAGCGUGGGGAGCAAACAGGAUUAGAAACCCGAGUAGUCCCAUGA